rnacentral:rRNA from 1 species
UACAGAGGUCUCAAGCGUUGUUCGGAUUCAUUGGGCGUAAAGGGUGCGUAGGCGGCGCGGUAAGUCGGGUGUGAAAUCUCGGAGCUUAACUCCGAAACUGCAUUCGAUACUGCCGUGCUUGAGGACUGGAGAGGAGACUGGAAUUUACGGUGUAGCAGUGAAAUGCGUAGAUAUCAGGAAGAACACCCGUGGCGAAGGCGGUUCUCUGGGACGGUACUGACGCUGAGACGCGAAAGCGUGGGGAGCGAACAGG